UACGUAGGGUCCGAGCGUUGUCCGGAAUUAUUGGGCGUAAAGAGCUCGUAGGCGGUUUGUCGCGUCUGCUGUGAAAACUCAGGGCUUAACUCUGAGCUUGCAGUGGGUACGGGCAGACUAGAGUGCGGUAGGGGAGACUGGAAUUCCUGGUGUAGCGGUGAAAUGCGCAGAUAUCAGGAGGAACACCGGUGGCGAAGGCGGGUCUCUGGGCCGUAACUGACGCUGAGGAGCGAAAGCUAGGGGAGCAAACGGG
rnacentral:rRNA from 1 species